CGCGUAUGCAAUCUGCCUUUCACAGAGGGAUAGCCCAGAGAAAUUUGGAUUAAUACCUCAUAGCAUUACGGGAUGGCAUCAUCCUGUAAUUAAAGUCACAACGGUGAAAGAUGAGCAUGCGUCCCAUUAGCUAGUUGGUAAGGUAACGGCUUACCAAGGCAACGAUGGGUAGGGGUCCUGAGAGGGAGAUCCCCCACACUGGUACUGAGACACGGACCAGACUCCUACGGGAGGCAGCAGUGAGGAAUAUUGGUCAAUGGGCGCAAGCCUGAACCAGCCAUGCCGCGUGCAGGAUGACGGUCCUAUGGAUUGUAAACUGCUUUUGCACAGGAAGAAACACUCCGACGUGUCGGAGCUUGACGGUACUGUGAGAAUAAGGAUCGGCUAACUCCGUGCCAGCAGCCGCGGUAAUACGGAGGAUCCAAGCGUUAUCCGGAAUCAUUGGGUUUAAAGGGUCCGUAGGCGGUUUGGUAAGUCAGUGGUGAAAGCCCAUCGCUCAACGGUGGAACGGCCAUUGAUACUGCUAAACUUGAAUUAUUGGGAAGUAACUAGAAUAUGUAGUGUAGCGGUGAAAUGCUUAGAGAUUACAUGGAAUACCAAUUGCGAAGGCAGGUUACUACCAAUUGAUUGACGCUGAUGGACGAAAGCGUGGGUAGCGAACAGGAUUAGAUACCCUGGUAGUCCACGCCGUAAACGAUGGAUACUAGCUGUUGGGGGCAACUUCAGUGGCUAAGCGAAAGUGAUAAGUAUCCCACCUGGGGAGUACGUUCGCA
rnacentral:rRNA from 1 species